rnacentral:tRNA from 1 species
GCGGGUGUCGCCAAGCGGGAAGGCAUCAGGCUUCCACCCUGACACGCGCGGGUUCGAUCCCCGCCACCCGCU